rnacentral:rRNA from 1 species
UACGUAGGCAGCGAGCGUUGUUCGGAGUUACUGGGCGUAAAGGGUGUGUAGGCGGUUGUUUAAGUUUGGUGUGAAAUCUCCCGGCUCAACUGGGAGGGUGCGCCGAAUACUGAAUGACUAGAGUGUGGGAGAGGAAAGUGGAAUUCCUGGUGUAGCGGUGAAAUGCGUAGAUAUCAGGAGGAACACCGGUGGUGUAGACGGCUUUCUGGACCAUAACUGACGCUGAGACACGAAAGCGUGGGUAGCAAACAGG